GGUAUAUUUAGUAAACAGUACCAAAAACUCCCCAAUAUUUUGGCUGUUGCCUUCUUCUGGGGGAAGAAUAUUCCCCAGAAGAAGGCAACAGUUGAAUAAGAAGGCAACAGCAGAAUUGUUGGGGAGUUUUUGAUCUCCAUCCCUAGGUUAGUACAUGUGACAUUACAUUUUCUAGGUAAUCGGUUUGUACUUUAUUGAUGUUAACUUUUG